UUCAACUUUAUUGCUGAAACCAACAUAAUAUUAACCUGCCUAGCACGACAUCAAUUUUGGCAUUACUGCAGUAUUGUGCCGCCCUACUACAUGUGUGUUAAGAUGAAAUAUGGGGAUAUCAGACUGUAGCCCAUAGGCUCAUGUGUACUAAGAUUGUUUAUUUGAUGUUGCCUUCCACCUACAGGUUUUAGAUAAUUUGCUACUGCAGCAACAUACUCUUGUAUACUUGAUAUUUAAUUCUAUCCUUAUACUCCCAGUACCGUAUAUUACUAAUAUUCUUGUAUACUACAAUGUGCUUGUUUCUUUCCUUGGUGGAGUUUUGUUGAUUUCGUUUGUAUGCCUUGAUGACCAAGUAGGUCUUGGGUGGUCGGUUGCUUGGGAUGGAAGAGGGCUUGCAUCAGCUGCUGCUUUGUUCGGAGGCAUUGCAACAACGCUGCUCCUCUUGGCAUUCGAGUUGUGGCUAAUCCUAGCGUAUAACAAGUAUUUUGGCAAGGUGAUAAUCGGAAAGGAGUUUCACCUUAAUGAGGACCAUGAAGAUGUGCUCCGGGUGUAUCUUUCCAUAUACAAAAGCUUUGUUAAGGUGCGCAUCUAAACUCGUAACCAGCUCUGUACUACUGUCUACUGCUAGUGAAAGUGAAGCCUGCUAGUUCUGAAAUGCCAGUGAAAGUGAACCCUGCUCGUUCUAGAAAUGAGCAUCUGGUACACCUGCCUAGUACUACUGCUAUUUAUUUAGCGAAGUAUGUAUACUUAGCUCAGUUUACACUUGACAGUUUUGUUGGUUAUUAAAUCUUGACUGUAGUCUGUAUAGACGCAUGAAUUGGUGUACACAUGCUCAUGUAUGAUUGCCAAUGCACUUUAUGCUUA